GAUUUUCCCGCGUAGAAGCUCCGGAGCUUCGCUUCAUCCUCUUUGCUCGCUCUCUCUCUCUCUCUCUCUCUCUCUCUGUUCGUAUUUUUCUCUAGAGUCAUCAAUGGAGUCGACGCAAUUGCAGGAGAACCCUAGCCCCCUCUCGCGAAGUCAACGGCGGCAUCUUCCCGUACGCAUCUACUCGGAUCAGCUUCAUUCCAUCUCUCUCUCUCCAUCGAAGCUCGCGGAUUGCGAUCCUCGUCUCCUCUCAGCCUGCUCAUCGCUUGAAGCAUCUCGAAGGCGCAGCUGUUCGGGCUCGAGUACGUAGUAGCAUUACCCUUUUUCUUAUUCCCUAAAUCGUGGGAGGAUGGAUUGCUUCCGUUGCCCUGACUGGUGUGGUGUCGAAUCGAAGCGAUCAAAACGCGAUAUGGAAGUUUCCUAAUGUUUGCGAGGAAGUUGUCGUGGGUGGGGUAGUUCCUUUGUGUUUUGUCUAAGCAUUCGUCCAAGUGUUCCUUCUUUUUUUUUGUGGGAUGGCUGUCCUGUCCAGUCCAGUUUGGUUUAGUGGGGUUUAUGCAUAUGCAGUAAUUAAUCUGUGUAGCCAAGUCUACUGCGAAGAGCAUCUUGACCGUCUUGAUCUGAAAGUAAAAGGUUAUUGGGAGACGGGACUUGAGUCCUAAUACUUAAGAGUAUGAGAGGUGCUGCUGUGAAGUGAAGUAUGGCUAGCGUAGAGAGUCAUUCCCAAAAGACAAUGGUUUACUAUUCCUUCAGAUGUUGUCCGCCUGAUUCUGUCUGGACCUUUGUCCUUAACGGUAGUCAUGGCUUUGUCUUGCUUGCUUUUAGGCGAAUGUAACUUGUACUUUUUGGUUCAUGAUAUGUGCCGUUAGAUUCAAUUUAAACUCCAUUCCCUGCAACAACCACCUUGUGAUUUGGUUUAACUGCUUUACCAGAAGUUCCUCUCAUUCUGCUUGACAUAAAAACCUCUAGUUUGUGUCGGUCCUUUGUUAGAGCUUCCUCCUGGCUCAGUAGUUAAUGUUGAAAUCGUGAUUUUUAUCGUGAUACAAAAUGCAGUUAACAUGUGUGAAUUUGCUCCCAUUUGGAAUGUUGUUAGUGACACGAAUGACAGAAGGAUUUUGGGUAAUUUUACUUUGGCUUUUAGACUCUACCUUGGGCAUUAAAAGUGAGACGUGUAUCUUUUUCCAAGUUGUGAGCGUGCAAUUUUUAUCAUAUAUAAGCUUCCCAAGCGUCUAUUAUUUCGAACUUGGACAUUCAAUGGGCAUAUCUCUUAAAAUAUCCAUUAAGUGUUGUUGGUUCCAUUGCACAUGAAAAACACAAGGCUGGACAUUAAAGAGGUGUUAUGUAUCAUUUACAUUCACAUUGUCACCUCUUUCACUUUAUGUUUGGCGCAUGCACUAUCAUUACAUAUUAAUUUUUUUUGGUCGAACUAUCAAUAUCAUUACAUAUUAGAUUGGUUACUUCUCCUGCGGAUAGACUUAAUGGAGCUUUGAUUGCAGUUCUUUCAUGUCACUGUCAUCACCGCAACAAUAACUAGUUCAAAGCUCUUCAAUUUUUUUACUUGGAGGCGAUCUACUAAAUUUGUCAUCAUAUUUUGUUGAAGGUCUUCAUGUCAUUGUCAUAUGAACUUUCCUUUGGAACUUGCAAGGCAUACUGUAGUCCGACGCUCUUAGGAAGCAGGUUGUGAUGCUAUGACAUAAUAAGCCUCAAAAUUUUAUGGUACCUUUAGAUAUGCUAUUUAUGAAUUGAUCAACUUUUAGCUGCAUUUAUAAGGCUUUUGCAGGUGAGGAGGUUUUCUUGCCGAUGUGUAAUAUCAAACCGACUAAACUUUUUCGCGGACAGUAUGAGGGAGCAUGACAGGGCUACCAUACAGGAGGCCAGGACUAGCAGAUAAUAGGGUCGCUAAGGGGAAUCUUCUCCUUGUUUUCACAUUGUUAUUAUAUUUCAAAAGGUAUACUUGGAAUUGAACUUAGGACUAGCCAUACGACAAAGAACAAACAAAUAAUCAGAACUUGAUCCUGCUAAUUUGUCAGAUGUCAAUGACCCUUUACAAUGGAGCACCGUGGGAAUAUUUUUGAGUUACGUUAAUUGUAAAAGGAAAAGGAAUUUCCCGUCACAUUGAAAUUAGAAGUGUAAAAGGCUUGUCUGCGGAUUCCUGACAUUGGAAUGCUGAAAGAGCCAUUUAUAAUCUUCUCUCAGCUAGUAAACUGACGGGUGUUAGUUUGUUUGUAUCAUCAGGUUUUCAUUUCAUUGUAAAAGCAGGGCAAUCCUAUCUAUUUUCUGCAAUUUCUAAAUCAUGUUGUGCUGCAAGAAAUUACUACUAAAAUGAUCUUUCAUUCUUUUUCAGCCUGGUCUUGUAACUACUCUUAGCACCAAAACAAUCGUGUUUGGUGAAACAAAUCUGAAGUCUUACUUGAAUUGUGUUUCCCUAUCUCUGUUUUCGUUGUUCUGCACCAUGGUGUUAGACUGCAAGUUGCGGUCAUAAGAUGAAAAUUCGAACUUCUGUUUUACAUAAGAUAGCACAAGCUACUCACACAAUCUCUCUACAUCAGAGAAAGAAUUAGAUUUUACUUUAACAACAAACGGCACUUUUUAAGGUGUGCCAACUGAGACAGUAAUUCCAAUGUUUCCUUGCUGGAUUUGCUAUCGCUGUUGUAAUCUUUCUUGACUAUUUUAGCUCUAUCUGUCAAUACGACACUCUCCGGUCCCUUAUCACAGAUUUGACAUAGUUCUAGUGCUUCUUGAUGCAAAAUAUCCCGAAUGGGAUACAAUUGUUUCUUGUCACAUUCUUAGUGAGGUGAGUCAUCAAAUUAACUAAUUCAUUCUUUUUUCAGCGUAAUUGACCUGACAGAAAUUUUUUGUGUAAUUAAUAAAUAGGGAGAGCCAACUAAAGUCGGUUGUGAUGAAGAUCUAGCAAAUUCUUUUGGAUUGGUCGUAGAUCUUCACAUAAUCUCAAAAUUUUGGCUAACAAUAUGGAGAUUUGUUUCAAUACAACUUCAGAACCUGGCCAACAUUCUUGUUCAGGUAGUUUAAGUAGCCCAGUGUAAUUUCUGGGUCACUGAGAAAUAUUUGAGCUAACUCAGGACAGUGGCGGAGAGCAAUAUCUGCUUUCAAAUGGGUUUCUUUAGCAUUCUUCUCUUACCAUUCCAAUUGGGUCUUAGCAUAGCCCAUUCAAUUUUCUCAGUAAAUGGUUCAAGGUUAGUUCAAAGUAGAAGAACAUCAGCAACAUCCUUUCAGGAACUAUAGGUUGAAGCAUGAUGUUUGCCUAUUUGAGCUGUAGAAAGGCUAAUACUAAUGACAAAGCUUGAAAUUGGACGCAUUCCUAUAUGAGCUUCGUAGGCAUCUUUUUCAUACUGGGGCUAGUACCAGUCUUUCAAGUUGGUCUGGGUGAGCUGACUGAGUUCUGGCUUCUGGGUCUAUUUUGAUUUUCUGUAAACCAUGAUUCGUAUUGUCAUAGAUAUAACUCACAUCUGAGGUCCUGCCAAGGCUUCUAAAAUUCGAAAUGCCUUGUUCCACUUCUUAACUUAGACAUUCUGGUCACUAUUAUUCCAGGAUUGGGGCACCAGAAAUUACCGGGGCAAGUAGCUAGUCUUUCAAGUUGCUCUAGGUGAGCUGACUGAGUUCUGGCAUCUGGGUCUAUUUAGAUUAUUGGUAAACCAUUAUUCGUAUUGUCAUAGAUAUAACUUACAUCUAAGGUCCUGGAGAGGCUUCUAAAAUUCGAGAAGAUUAUGUUUUAUACAUCAGCCAUCUAUAAUGUGCAUUGUGAAAUCAGCUACAACCUGACUACUGAUCUUCGAUUCUCCAAUAAUUCUAUUAAAUUAUGUAGUUUUUACAUGUAAUUUGUUCUCAUCAGCACAACUUUUCCUUGGAAAAACAUUGACGCACUGGAUCUGUGCAUUUCAUAUAGGUACAUUCUCUUUGUAGAGGAUGUCUUAGAAUGGUCCUUACUAAGGAGGCUGAAAAAGUUCAUCAAGCUAUUGUCAACCUCAGUGAACAUCUGCUACUCAGAAUGCAGUAAGAUAAACUCCCUCUCUUAAUUUUUUUCUUUUAUCUCUUGUACUUGUCUAGGUCUACCUUUUCUUUUGUUUGUUGAUUUAUUGUGCAUUUCAUAACAACACAGCAAGGACAUCUGUGCGCAUGAUGGAAAGUUUGAUUUGCCUAGCUGAAGGACACGCAAGACUAAUGUUCAGAAACGAAGUUACCUAUCUUGAUGCUAUCGCAGCCAUUUUGUGCUUUGAAUCCUCCAUCUACAUCAGCCAUUGUGGGCAGCCUUUUAAAUGCUCUUUAUGCCAAUUUUAGAGAAAAUCCUGAUCACGAAAUCCUUCUUGGAAGUAACAUGAAGAUUAGAAGACUCAAAGAGCAGAAUGUUUACGGCCUGUCCUAUGUACCAGAUUCUUGGUAUCUGUAUCUGCCAUUCAUUUACAAGUUUGGGAUAGAGCUACAGAAUUGCUUUUGAUAAGAAGAGUUCCUAUACAAAUUUCUGCCUCUUUCAUCUUCCCAACACACAGGAGAAGACCAGAACAUGGAUAGCCACAGCAACAGUAUUUGAAUGACAAGCUGGGCGGGACAUUACUGAUGAGAAUGGUAAAACCUCUUUGACAGAACGGCUAGUCCGUGGCCAACCUCUCAUCAGUUUACUUCCACAUAUCGCCCAAUGGAGCCAAUCCACAUUUUCCUUGGAACGAGCAGGAAAAGAGAAUUACUGGAGUGUCUUUGAAUAGUGCUCAGAAAGCUUUUGCGUGACAUGCACAGGAUGGUGAGCACGUGAAAAUAGGACUCUCCACUGAUCGCUAUUCUCUUCUUUUUGUCAUUCCUAUUGUGUACACAACAGGACUCUGGAGACCCAACUUGCGAAGAUGUCAAUUGAUAAGAUUAUGGACGUUUAACUGCUUAUUAAGGUUUGUGCUAGUAUAACUGCUGCAAGUUUUGUUAGAAUGCUGUCGGGUAAGAAGAGGGUUGCCUGAAGCAGGUAAGGUGCUGCUGUAUCAUAUUGAGAAUGAAAACGCCAUGACUGGGUAGAGAACUAUUUUAAUGAGAAUCGUCGAGUGUAUUUCUUGGUC